UGGUCAAGUUAUUAAGGGUGCAGGGCGGAUGCCUUGGCACUAGGAGCCGAUGAAGGACGUGAUAAGCUGCGAUAAGCUUCGGGGAGUUGCACGUAAACUUUGAUCCGAAGAUUUCCGAAUGAGGAAACUCACUUAGCGUAAUGUCUAAGUCUCAUUAAGUGAAUACAUAGCUUAAUGAGGGGAACUCAGGGAACUGAAACAUCUAAGUACCUGAAGGAAGAGAAAGAAAUUCGAUUCCGUAAGUAGCGGCGAGCGAACGCGGAUUAGCCCAAACCAAUAAAGUUUUCUUUAUUGGGGUUGCGGACAUAUCAUAACGAAGAGGUAUCGUAAUUGAAGAGGUUUGGAAAGACCCACCACAGAAGGUAAUAGUCCUGUAUGUUAAACGAGAAGACUUUAGAUAUGAUCCAGAGUACCACGGGACACGUGAAACCCUGUGGGAAGCAGGAGGGACCACCCUCCAAGGCUAAAUACUACCUAGUGACCGAUAGCGUAUAGUACCGUGAGGGAAAGGUGAAAAGAACCCCGGGAGGGGAGUGAAAUAGAACCUGAAACCCUGCACUUACAAGCUGUGGAAGCACAUUUCUUGUGUGACCGCGUACUUUUUGUAGAACGGGCCAACGAGUUACGUUAAGUAGCAAGGUUAAGCACUUAAGGUGCGGAGCCGUAGCGAAAGCGAGUUUUAACUGAGCGUUCAGUUACUUGACGUAGACCCGAAACCGGGCGACCUACCCAUGAGCAGGAUGAAGCGAAAGUAAAAUUUCGGGGAGGUCCGAACCCACGAGCGUUGAAAAGCUCGGGGAUGACUUGUGGGUAGCGGUGAAAUUCCAAUCGAGCCCGGAGAUAGCUGGUUCUCCCCGAAAUAGCUUUAGGGCUAGCCUCAAGGUGAGAGAUACGGAGGUAGAGCACUGAAUGUCCUAGGGGGUAUUGCACCUACCGAAGACUAUCAAACUCCGAAUGCCGUCAUCUUAUACUUGGGAGUCAGACUGUGGGUGAUAAGAUUCAUAGUCGAAAGGGCAACAGCCCAGAUCGUCAGCUAAGGUCCCUAAAUGUAAGUUAAGUGGUAAAGGAUGUGGGAUUGCACAGACAACCAGGAUGUUGGCUUAGAAGCAGCCACUCAUUCAAAGAGUGCGUAAUAGCUCACUGGUCGAGUGAUCCUGCGCCGAAGAUUUCCGGGGCUAAAACUUACUACCGAAGCUACGGCAUCAGUAAUGAUGGGUAGGGGAGCUUCCCAUACGGGUUGAAGCAUGACCGUAAGGACAUGUGGACAGUAUGGGAGUGAGAAUGUUGGCAUGAGUAGCGAGAUGUGGGUGAGAAUCCCACAGGCCGUAAACCCAAGG
rnacentral:rRNA from 1 species